ACAUGCAAGUCGAACGAUGAAGCCCUUCGGGGUGGAUUAGUGGCGAACGGGUGAGUAACACGUGGGCAAUCUGCCCUGCACUCUGGGACAAGCCCUGGAAACGGGGUCUAAUACCGGAUAUGACCGUCCAUCGCAUGGUGGAUGGUGUAAAGCUCCGGCGGUGCAGGAUGAGCCCGCGGCCUAUCAGCUAGUUGGUGAGGUAGUGGCUCACCAAGGCGACGACGGGUAGCCGGCCUGAGAGGGCGACCGGCCACACUGGGACUGAGACACGGCCCAGACUCCUACGGGAGGCAGCAGUGGGGAAUAUUGCACAAUGGGCGAAAGCCUGAUGCAGCGACGCCGCGUGAGGGAUGACGGCCUUCGGGUUGUAAACCUCUUUCAGCAGGGAAGAAGCGAAAGUGACGGUACCUGCAGAAGAAGCGCCGGCUAACUACGUGCCAGCAGCCGCGGUAAUACGUAGGGCGCAAGCGUUGUCCGGAAUUAUUGGGCGUAAAGAGCUCGUAGGCGGCUUGUCACGUCGGUUGUGAAAGCCCGGGGCUUAACCCCGGGUCUGCAGUCGAUACGGGCAGGCUAGAGUUCGGUAGGGGAGAUCGGAAUUCCUGGUGUAGCGGUGAAAUGCGCAGAUAUCAGGAGGAACACCGGUGGCGAAGGCGGAUCUCUGGGCCGAUACUGACGCUGAGGAGCGAAAGCGUGGGGAGCGAACAGGAUUAGAUACCCUGG
rnacentral:rRNA from 1 species